GCAAACUUGGUCAUUUAGAGGAAGUAAAAGUCGUAACAAGGUUUCCGUAGGUGAACCUGCGGAAGGAUCAUUAACAAAAUUAUUAUGUGAUAAUGCUUUGGUAUUGUUAUAUAUUAUGUUAAUUCACCCUUUUCAAUGUGAAUUUCACGUAAACGUAUGUUUGACUAUCUGGUUAGGUGCUUGAGAUUUUUUGAAGUUUUGAGCGAUAAAUUGCCUGCCAGUAGUUUUUCUGUUUAAAACUUACCUAGUAUAAAAUUUUGUUGAAUAUAUCGUUUGAUAGAAACUCUGGUUUUUUGUAACAGAAAAAUUCGAGGGACUUGACAACACACUUUGUAUAAAUCAAUACAACUUGCAACAAUGGAUCUCUUGGCUCUUGCAUCGAUGAAGAACGCAGC
rnacentral:misc_RNA from 1 species